GAUGAACGCUGGCGGCGUGCCUAAUACAUGCAAGUCGAGCGAACAGACGAGGAGCUUGCUCCUCUGACGUUAGCGGCGGACGGGUGAGUAACACGUGGAUAACCUACCUAUAAGACUGGGAUAACUUCGGGAAACCGGAGCUAAUACCGGAUAAUAUAUUGAACCGCAUGGUUCAAUAGUGAAAGACGGUUUUGCUGUCACUUAUAGAUGGAUCCGCGCCGCAUUAGCUAGUUGGUAAGGUAACGGCUUACCAAGGCAACGAUGCGUAGCCGACCGGAGAGGGUGAUCGGCCACACGGGAACUGAGACACGGACCAUACUCCUACGGGAGGCAGCAGUAGGGAAUCUUCCGCAAUGGGCGAAAGCCUGACGGAGCAACGCCGCGUGAGUGAUGAAGGUCUUCGGAUCGUAAAACUCUGUUAUUAGGUAAGAACAAAUGUGUAAGUAACUAUGCACGUCUUGACGGUACCUAAUCAGAAAGCCACGGCUAACUACGUG
rnacentral:rRNA from 1 species